rnacentral:rRNA from 1 species
CCUGGCGGCCUUAGCGCGGUGGUCCCACCUGACCCCAUGCCGAACUCAGAAGUGAAACGCCGUAGCGCCGAUGGUAGUGUGGGGUCACCCCAUGCGAGAGUAGGGAACUGCCAAGC